rfam:Myotis brandtii contig260719, whole genome shotgun sequence.
GAUGGUUCUUGGGUGACACACCCCAAAAUCGGGUUCCCUCCUCUCUGGUUCCAGGUGCGUCACCCAAGAGCUGCA